AUUAUUAAAUAUUGAUCAAUAUACCCCUGACCUACACAACAAAGUUUAAGGGGUGUAUACUGGAAUCAGCUCGUCUGUCUGUCUGCCUGUCUUUAAUUAAUGUUUGUCAGGUACACAACUAGGUAUCAACAUACAUCAUAAAUGGAUAGAUCCCAUUGAGGUCUAUAAGCAUUAACUAUCCUGUGCAUAAUUUUGGAGUUAUAGCCCUUUGAAGUUUUCCUUCCGAAAUAUCUUGAGUGUAACUGAAAAAGUGUUGGCAAUAUAAACUUCAGACAUUAGAUGAGUAGAUCUCAUUGUAGUAAAUGUAGUUUUCCAAGAACCAAGAAUCUUGUAUAAUUUUACAGUUACUAACCUUUGUAUGUGUAGUUUUUAGAAAAUAGCUUAAGCUAUAAAGUUUAGAAAAUAUGAUGUAUCAAUUAUACCAUAUUGACAAAGCUCAAAGAGGGUAUCUUAUUAUUUCCUACUUUUGUACAAUUUUAUUUUGUUAUCUAGCAUUGAAAAUUGUAUAUAUGUUGUUUGAAAGAAAUAAUUUGUUUAAGAUAAAUUUACAUAUUGUUGUAGUGGCUUAGUCAAUCCUAUGCAUGCAUUUAUAUACCAAUUUCAGUUAAAAACUGAAAUAAUAAAAUCAUUUUCAAUAA